rnacentral:lncRNA from 1 species
UCCCAGGUGUAUCCCAGGUGUGCCCAGGUGUAUCCCAGGUGUAUCCCAGGUGUAUCCCAGGUGUAUCCCAGGUGUGUCCCAGGUGUGCCCCACAUUGCCCAGGUGUGCCCAGGUGUAUCCCAGGUGUAUCCCAGGUGUAUCCCAGGUGCGCCCAGGUGCGCCCAGGCGCCCCUAGCAGGGCGAGGUGGACAGGUGGGGGUGCGGGGCGGGUCUCUGGGGGUACUUGAUGGCGGGCGGGUAGUUCUGGGUCAUCUGGAUGGAGACGUCGGACGAGGCGUCGGAGGCGCUGCGGGCGCGCGGCCACGCCCGCGGCUGCAGGAACUGCGCCGACAGCCCCGAGCAGGUGCUGAGGCGCGGGCGCAGCAGCUGCGGCGGCGCCCGGCACAGCUCCUCCUCGGCGUAGCGCUUGGUGAACAGGUACACCGACAUCACACCUGCGCCCUGAAACAGAGAGAGAGACGGGUGAGUGACACGCCUGUCACACCUGAGUGACACCUGUGACACACCUGAGUGACAGCUGUG